rnacentral:rRNA from 1 species
UACGUAGGGUGCAAGCGUUAAUCGGAAUUACUGGGCGUAAAGGGCUCGUAGGCGGCCUACUAAGUCGGAUGUGAAAUCCCCAGGCUUAACUUGGGAACUGCAUCCGAUACUGGUGGGCUUGAAUCCGGGAGAGGGAUGCAGAAUUCCAGGUGUAGCGGUGAAAUGCGUAGAUAUCUGGAGGAAUACCGGUGGCGAAGGCGGCAUCCUGGACCGGCAUUGACGCUGAUGAGCGAAAGCUAGGGGAGCAAACGGG